rnacentral:rRNA from 1 species
CUCCUGGAAACGGGUGGUAAUGCCGGAUGCUCCGCCCCCUCGCAUGGGGGGUCGGGAGGGCUUUUGCGGAAUGGGAUGGGGUCGCGUCCUAUCAGCUUGUUGGCGGGGCGACGGCCCACCAAGGCCUCGACGGGUAGCCGGCCUGAGAGGGCGACCGGCCACAUUGGGACUGAGAUACGGCCCAGACUCCUACGGGAGGCAGCAGUGGGGAAUAUUGCACAAUGGGGGGAACCCUGAUGCAGCGACGCCGCGUGCGGGAUGGAGGCCUUCGGGUCGUGAACCGCUUUUGAUUGGGAGCAAGCGUGAGUGAGUGUACCUUUCGAAUAAGCACCGGCUAACUACGUGCCAGCAGCCGCGGUAAUACGUAGGGUGCAAGCGUUGUCCGGAAUCAUUGGGCGUAAAGGGCUCGUAGGCGGUUCGUCGCGUCCGGUGUGAAAGCCCAUCGCUUAACGGUGGGUCUGCGCCGGGUACGGGCGGGCUUGAGUGCGGCAGGGGAGGCUGGAAUUCCCGGUGUAACGGUGGAAUGUGUAGAUAUCGGGAAGAACACC